UACAGAGGGUGCAAGCGUUAAUCGGAAUUACUGGGCGUAAAGCGUGCGUAGACGGUUAUUUAAGUCGGGUGUGAAAGCCCCGGGCUCAACCUGGGAACUUGCAUCGAGACUGAAUAGCUAGGGUGCGGAAGAGGGAAGCGGGAAUUUCCGGUGUAGCGGUGAAAUGCGUAGAUAUCGGAAGGAACACCAGUGGCGAAAGCGG
rnacentral:rRNA from 1 species